AGCAUAUCAAUAAGCGGAGGAAAAGAAACCAACAGGGAUUGCCUCAGUAACGGCGAGUGAAGCGGCAAAAGCUCAAAUUUGAAAUCUAGCACCUUCGGUGUUCGAGUUGUAAUUUGAAGAUGGUAACCUUGGGUUUGGCUCUCGUCUAUGUUCCUUGGAACAGGACGUCAUAGAGGGUGAGAAUCCCGUCUGAUGAGAUGCCCAUUCCUAUGUAAGGUGCUAUCGAAGAGUCGAGUUGUUUGGGAAUGCAGCUCUAAGUGGGUGGUAAAUUCCAUCUAAAGCUAAAUAUUGGCGAGAGACCGAUAGCGAACAAGUACAGUGAUGGAAAGAUGAAAAGAACUUUGAAAAGAGAGUGAAAAAGUACGUGAAAUUGUUGAAAGGGAAGGGCAUUAGAUCAGACUUGGUGUUUUACGAUUAUCUUCUCUUCUUGAGUUGUGCACUCGUAUUUCACUGGGCCAGCAUCGAUUCGGAUGGCAAGAUAAUGGCAGUUGAAUGUGGCUUCACUUCGGUGGAGUGUUAUAGCUUCUGCUGAUAUUGCCUGUCUGGAUCGAGGGCUGCGUCUUUUGACUAGGAUGCUGGCGUAAUGAUCUAAUGCCGCCCGUCUUGAAACACGGACCAAGGAGUCUAACGUCUAUGCGAGUGUUUGGGUGUAAAACCCGUACGCGUAAUGAAAGUGAACGUAGGUGAGAGCUCUUUUUUGAGUGCAUCAUCGACCGAUCCUGAUGUUUUCGGAUGGAUUUGAGUAAGAGCAUAGCUGUUGGGACCCGAAAGAUGGUGAACUAUGCCUGAAUAGGGUGAAGCCAGAGGAAACUCUGGUGGAGGCUCGUAGCGGUUCUGACGUGCAAAUCGAUCGUCGAAUUUGGGUAUAGGGCGAAAGAC
rnacentral:rRNA from 1 species